AUCCGGAGGCUCAACCUCCGGCCUGCAGUGGGUACGGGCAGACUAGAGUGCGGUAGGGGAGAUUGGAAUUCCUGGUGUAGCGGUGGAAUGCGCAGAUAUCAGGAGGAACACCGAUGGCGAAGGCAGAUCUCUGGGCCGUAACUGACGCUGAGGAGCGAAAGGGUGGGGAGCAAACAGGCUUAGAUACCCUGGUAGUCCACCCCGUAAACGUUGGGAACUAGUUGUGGGGUCCAUUCCACGGAUUCCGUGACGCAGCUAACGCAUUAAGUUCCCCGCCUGGGGAGUACGGCCGCAAGGCUAAAACUCAAAGGAAUUGACGGGGACCCGCACAAGCGGCGGAGCAUGCGGAUUAAUUCGAUGCAACGCGAAGAACCUUACCAAGGCUUGACAUAUACGAGAACGGGCCAGAAAUGGUCAACUCUUUGGACACUCGUAAACAGGUGGUGCAUGGUUGUCGUCAGCUCGUGUCGUGAGAUGUUGGGUUAAGUCCCGCAACGAGCGCAACCCUCGUUCUAUGUUGCCAGCACGUAAUGGUGGGAACUCAUGGGAUACUGCCGGGGUCAACUCGGAGGAAGGUGGGGAUGACGUCAAAUCAUCAUGCCCCUUAUGUCUUGGGCUUCACGCAUGCUACAAUGGCCGGUACAAAGGGCUGCAAUACCGCGAGGUGGAGCGAAUCCCAAAAAGCCGGUCCCAGUUCGGAUUGAGGUCUGCAACUCGACCUCAUGAAGUCGGAGUCGCUAGUAAUCGCAGAUCAGCAACGCUGCGGUGAAUACGUUCCCGGGUCUUGUACACACCGCCCGUCAAGUCAUGAAAGUCGGUAACACCUGAAGCCGGU
rnacentral:rRNA from 1 species